rnacentral:rRNA from 1 species
UACGGAAGGCAGCAGUGGGGAAUAUUGCACAAUGGGCGCAAGCCUGAUGCAGCCAUGCCGCGUGUAUGAAGAAGGCCUUCGGGUUGUAAAGUACUUUCAGUCGUGAGGAAGGUGUUAAGGUUAAUAACCUUAGCAAUUGACGUUAGCGACAGAAGAAGCACCGGCUAACUCCGUGCCAGCAGCCGCGGUAAUACGGAGGGUGCGAGCGUUAAUCGGAAUUACUGGGCGUAAAGGGCACGCAGGCGGUUAAUUAAGUUGGAUGUGAAAUCCCCGGGCUUAACCUGGGAAUGGCAUUCAAGACUGGUUAGCUAGAGUCUUGUAGAGGGGGUAGAAUUCCAUGUGUAGCGGUGAAAUGCGUAGAGAUGUGGAGGAAUACCGGUGGCGAAGGCGGCCCCUGGGACAAAGGACUGACGCUCAUGUGCGAAAGCGUGGGGAGCGAAAC